rnacentral:rRNA from 1 species
AGUGCGUACUAGGUUCUUCGGCUUUUCGUCGGUUUUCUUGUUGUGGCCUUUAUUGGUGGCGGCAAGUGGCUGACAAUUUUACUUUGAACAAAUCAGAGUGCUCAAAACAGGCGUUUCGCUUGUAUGUUUUUGCAUGGAAUAAUAGAAUAUGACUUCGGUCUAGUUUUAUUGGUUUUAUUGAUCGUUGUAAUGAUUAAAAGAGACAAACGGGGGCAUUCGUAUUGUUGCGUGAGAGGUGAAAUUCUUGGACCGCAGCAAGACGACCUACAGCGAAAGCAUUUGCCAAGCUUGUCUUCAUUAAUCAAGAACGAAAGUCAGAGGAUCGAAGGUGAUCAGAUACCGCCCUAGUUCUGACCGUAAACGAUGCCAACUAGCGAUUCGCCGGUGGAAUAUUUGCCCUGGCGAGGAGCUUCCCGGAAACGAAAGUCUUCCGGUUCCGGGGGAAGUAUGGUUGCAAAGCUGAAACUUAAAGGAAUUGACGGAAGGGCACCACCAGGAGUGGAGCCUGCGGCUUAAUUUGACUCAACACGGGAAAACUCACCCGGCCCGGACACUAUAAGGAUUGACAGAUUGAUAGCUCUUUCAUGAUUUGGUGGAUGGUGGUGCAUGGGCCGUUCUUAGUUCGUGGAGUGAUUUGUCUGGUUUAUUCCGAUAACGAGCGAGACUCUAGCCUACUAAAUAGUUCGCUCAUUGUUUAUUGUGUAGCGGUACUUCCUAGAGGAAUUUUCGG